GGUUAGAUAAGCUAAUGCAGCUAUUGGGUUAUAAGUCCAAAAUGAAAUUAGGUUUUCUUACUA
rnacentral:tRNA from 1 species